GCGAGAUAGUUCAAGUGGUUAGAACGGUAGAAUCAUAAUCUAGAAGUUGUAGGUUCGAAUCCUAUUCUCGUUA
rnacentral:tRNA from 1 species